UACCAGCACCCCGAGUGGUCGGGACGUUUAUUGGGCCUAAAGCAUCCGUAGCCGGUUCUACAAGUCUUCCGUUAAAUCCAACUGCUUAACAGGUGGGCUGCGGAGGAUACUACGUGGCUAGGAGGCGGGAGAGGCAAGCGGUACUCAGUGGGUAGGGGUAAAAUCCUUUGAUCCAUUGAAGACCACCAGUGGCGAAGGCGGCUUGCCAGAACGCGCUCGACGGUGAGGGAUGAAAGCUGGGGGAGCAAACCGG
rnacentral:rRNA from 1 species